rnacentral:rRNA from 1 species
CAGUCGCCGCGGUAAUACGUAAGUGGCAAGCGUUGUCCGGAAUUAUUGGGCGUAAAGGGCUCGCAGGCGGUUUCUUAAGUCUGGUGUGAAAGCCCCCGGCUCAACCGGGGAGGGUCAUUGGAAACUGGGAAACUUGAGUGCAGAAGAGGAGAGUGGAAUUCCACGUGUAGCGGUGAAAUGCGUAGAGAUGUGGAGGAACACCAGUGGCGAAGGCGACUCUCUGGUCUGUAACUGGCGCUGAGGAGCGAAAGCGUGGGGAGCGAACAGGAUUAGAGACCCCUGUAGUCCCUGUCUCUUAUAU